AAUAUGCAAGCACUGUGACUGGAGCGUGCAGCAGUGUCAGUCUAGGAAGGGUUGGAACUGGAGCCAAGGCUGACCUGCAAAAGGAUCGGAGACAGCAGAUGAAUGAGUGAGGAGUGACGGAGCCUGUGAGGGAGACUUCAUAAACAUCUGAUGCAGCUUCCAGGAGAAGAUUUAUUAUGAAAACCAUGAAAUUGUUUGAGAGAAACACCAGGCAACAGAAAUUCCUUUGGGUCCAGAAACAAACAAUGCAUGGAGAGCUCAGUAGGUCAGGCAACAUUCGUGGAAAGGACAAAAGGUUGCAAAUGUUAUUUGGACACUUUCUCAUACCUUGCUUGAUCUGAGAAAGGAUCUGUACCUUAAAAAAGUUGACAAAUUUCUUCAAAGAUAUUGAUUCAAUUUAUAUUCUAUGGAUUUUUAAUUCCUGAGAUACACUUGCUAAUAAAAGACUCUUUUAGCA